CUAUAUAGACAGCUAUGUUUUCAAUGAAGAACUCUGGCUGGUGAUGGAAUAUGUGGAGGGAUGCACCUUAGGCGAUGUCAUUUCCAAACAAGCUCUUGAGGAAGAGAUGAUAGCCUCUAUCAGUCGGGAGUGCCUGAAAGCCCUGGACUUCCUUCAUUCAAAUCGAGUGAUCCACAGAGACAUCAAAAGUGACAAUAUUCUUCUGGGAAUGGAUGGAUCUGUCAAAUUGAUUGAUUUUGGCUUAUGUGCUUGGCUUCACCCUGGGAGAAGAAACGGAGGUCUUUCAUUGGG